rnacentral:misc_RNA from 1 species
GUUGGUGAACCAGCGGAGGGAUCAUUACGAGAGUGUCACCGCUCCCAACCCAUUGUUUACCUACCCGUCCACCGUGCUUCGGCAGGCAGCCCUGUGGGACAGGGCCUCGCCUCCCUUCGGGGGGGUGCCUGCCGCUGGCCAACCAAAAAUUCAGCUGUUUUUGUACCAUCUGAGUCUUCCACAAAUAAACAAAACUUUCAACAACGGAUCUCUUGGUUCUG